AGUUAUAUAGUAUAGAAGUUAGUAUAUAUACCUAUCGUUCUACUUUACCUUAGGAUAGAAUCCUAGGGUAGAGCAAGGCUAGUAUAAGGUUAUAGGUUCGAAUCCUAUUAUAGCCU